UUCUGCCCUAUCAACUUGUUGGUAAGGUAUUGGCUUACCAAGGUUGCAACGGGUAACGGGGAAUCAGGGUUCGAUUCCGGAGAGGGAGCCUGAGAAACGGCUACCACAUCCAAGGAAGGCAACAGGCGCGCAAAUUACCCAAUCUAGACAGUAGGAGGUGGUGAAGAGAAUUACUAAGUGGUGGCCAAAUGGCUACCAGCUUGGAAUGAACGUAAUUUAAGCAAUUCGAUGAGUAACAACUGGAGGGCAAGUCCUGGUGCCAGCAGCCGCGGUAAUUCCAGCUCCAGUAAUCUCGCUUAAAGUUGUUGCGUUUAAAACGCUCGUAGUUGGAUCACGCAGCAGCACUCGGUAAUCUGAAUGUGGGCGUAAAAGCUGCCGUUCGAGAAGCAUCUUGCGAAAGUGAGAUGUGUAUCGAUUGGCAGUGUUCACAGGACGAUGCUAACGCUGGGUGCUGCUAGUUGCACGCGAGUAUGACAGUUGGUCUUUAGUGUACUGAGUGUCAUGUCUUGCGGAGUGAGCCUUGAAUAAAACAGAGUGCUCAACGCAGGCAAAAGCUUGAAUGUUAUAGCAUGGAACGAACAAACGUGUAAACGUGCAUACUGAGUGCGGUGGUUUUCCUUUGGAUGACGGCUGCACGACGUGUGCACAGCACCUACCAAAAUAUGGAUGUUGGUUCCAUAUACGGUGAUGAUUAAAAGGAGCGGUUGGGGGUAUUGGUAUUUGGCCGCGAGAGGUGAAAUUCUAGGACCGGCCAAGGACUAACAAAUGCGAAGGCACUUACCCAGACCGUUUCCAUUAAUCAAGAACGAAAGUGAGAGGUUCGAAAACGAUCAGAUACCGUUGUAGUUCUCACCGUAAACUAUGCCGACCUGGGACCAGUUUGGAUAUUACAAACUCUAGGUUGGUCCCCCUGGGAAACCUCAAGUUUUUAGGUUACGGGGAGAGUAUGGUCGCAAGGCUGAAACUUAAAGGAAUUGACGGAAGGGCACCACCAGGGGUGGAGCCUGCGGCUUAAUUUGACUCAACACGGGGAAACUUACCUGGUCCGGACAUCGAUAGGAUAGACAGACUGAUAGAUCUUUCUUGAUGCGAUGAGUGGUGGUGCAUGGCCGUUCUUAGUUCGUGGAGUGAUCUGUCAGGUUAAUUCCGGUAACGAACGAGACCACAGUCCCCAUUUAAGAAACGAAAGUAGGGUGGCGGAUUGAUGCUGCUUUGCGGCAGUGUCUUUUUGUUGCUUGAAGGUAUAGUUGGCUGGCUGGGUGGGAUGCUGUGUGUGGGGAAACUCAUGCCGGUGCCUCAUUCAGUGGGCUGAUUCUCCCUUUCGUUAAGCAGUGCUCGGUGUUUCACUGGGUGCUGUCUUAUGGGGAGACAACGAGGCAUAUUUAAAGCUCGAGGAAGAGUGGCUAUAACAGGUCAGUGAUGCCCUUCGAUGUUCAGGGCCGCACGCGCGCUACAAUGAUAGCGACAGCAAGUGUCUGAGUCGAGAGACUUGGGUAAUCUGGAAUCGCUAUCGUGAUGGGGAUUGACCGUUGUAAUUAUCGGUCAUGAAAGAGGAAUCCCUCGUAUACGCAUUUUAAUACAAUGCGUAGAAUGAGUCCCUGCCCUUUGUACACACCGCCCGUCGCUACUACCGAGUGAAUGGUGUCAUGAUGCCUUGGGACUGGACGAUGAACGGGUCUCACGACUUGUUUAUCGCUGGAAUCAGCGUAAAAUGGCGCAAUUUCGAGGAAGUAAAAGUCGUAACAAGGUUUCCGUAG
rnacentral:rRNA from 1 species